CAACCCGAUGCAAACUGCGAAUACCGGAGAAUGUUAUCACGGGAGACACACGGCGGGGGCUAACGUCCGUCGUGAAGAGGGAAACAACCCAGACCGCCAGCUAAGGUCCCAAAGUCAUGGUUAAGUGGGAAACGAUGUGGGAAGGCCCAGACAGCCAGGAUGUUGGCUUAGAAGCAGCCAUCAUUUAAAGAAAGCGUAAUAGCUCACUGGUCGAGUCGGCCUGCGCGGAAGAUGUAACGGGGCUAAACCAUGCACCGAAGCUGCGGCAGCGACGCUGAUGCGUUGUUGGGUAGGGGAGCGUUCUGUAAGCCUGUGAAGGUGUGCUGUGAGGCAUGCUGGAGGUAUCAGAAGUGCGAAUGCUGACAUAAGUAACGAUAAAGCGGGUGAAAAGCCCGCUCGCCGGAAGACCAAGGGUUCCUGUCCAACGUUAAUCGGGGCAGGGUGAGUCGACCCCUAAGGCGAGGCCGAAAGGCGUAGUCGAUGGGAAACAGGUUAAUAUUCCUGUACUUGGUGUUACUGCGAAGGGGGGACGGAGAAGGCUAUGUUGGCCGGGCGACGGUUGUCCCGGUUUAAGCGUGUAGGCUGGUUUUCCAGGCAAAUCCGGAAAAUC
rnacentral:rRNA from 1 species